CCCUUAGAUGUCCUGGGCCGCACGCGCGCUACACUGAUGCAUUCAACGAGCUUUACCUUGGCCGAGAGGCCUGGGCAAUCUUUUAAACCUGCAUCGUGAUAGGGAUAGAUUAUUGCAAUUAUUAAUCUUGAACGAGGAAUUCCUAGUAAACGCAAAUCAUCAAUUUGCAUUGAUUACGUCCCUGCCCUUUGUACACACCGCCCGUCGCACCUACCGAUUGAAUGGUCCGGUGAAGCCUCGGGAUUGUGGCCAGUUCACUUUAUUGGGAGUUGGCUGUGAGAACUUGUCUAAACCUUAUCAUUUAGAGGAAGGUGAAGGCGUAACA
rnacentral:rRNA from 1 species